UACGUAGGGUGCAAGCGUUGUCCGGAAUUACUGGGCGUAAAGAGCUCGUAGGCGGUUUGUCGCGUCUGUUGUGAAAACUCAGGGCUUAACCCUGAGCUUGCAGUGGGUACGGGCAGACUAGAGUGCGGUAGGGGAGACUGGAAUUCCUGGUGUAGCGGUGAAAUGCGCAGAUAUCAGGAGGAACACCGGUGGCGAAGGCGGGUCUCUGGGCCGUAACUGACGCUGAGGAGCGAAAGCGUGGGGAGCGAACAGG
rnacentral:rRNA from 1 species